rnacentral:rRNA from 1 species
UACGUAGGGUGCAAGCGUUAAUCGGAAUUACUGGGCGUAAAGCGUGCGCAGGCGGUUUUGUUAAGUCUGACGUGAAAUCCCCCGGGCUCAACCUGGGAAUUGCGUUGGAGACUGCAAGGCUGGAGUCUGGCAGAGGGGGGUAGAAUUCCACGUGUAGCAGUGAAAUGCGUAGAGAUGUGGAGGAACACCGAUGGCGAAGGCAGCCCCCUGGGUCAAGACUGACGCUCAUGCACGAAAGCGUGGGG